rnacentral:lncRNA from 1 species
GGUCAGAUCUCGUAGCCGAAGCUAUUACCAGUUGAGCUUCCACACAACUCUGGACUGGUGACCAGGGGUUGGACCCAUACACACACCACUCAUACAAAAUCUAUCCAUAACUCCCAGCUAAACGUAUUCGCCGCUAAAUAACUCAGGCGCAUACAGCCCUAACAGAUCGGUAUUACGACUAGUGGAGAUCACACUAUUAACAUCUAAGUGCCCAUUAGUCUAGUUAAUCCCCAUACCCCCAAAAUCCUUAAUAUCUGAGUACAUCGAGAGUUCUGUAAUUACAUUCACCUAGUCUUCACCACCCGCCCCACAAAAACACCCCGACCUAUACGAAAGGCAUCUCUGAUGCAAAAAUGCAUUCAAAGGCCCAUGCCCCGUAAGCAAAAACCCCAGCCUCAAACGAACACGGAAGUCCGGGUUACAGUCAACAAACCCAAAGUCCCGAAUGUACUCAUAAGUCACUCGCCCCAACGUUCUUGCCACCUGACCCUAUCACCUAGAAGCCUCCUGAUCCCUAAAUAUCCCUCGCUCUCCACAUCAUCAUCGGAGAUCCAAUCACACAGCAGCAAUGAAACACUCAAGCCCUUCUUAACCUGAAUACAACAGCACGCUGUAUAACAAUCAGGUCAAGAGGAGGUCCACAUAACAAAACUUGUAAAGCCCACUUCGAAACAGUGCGACUUACUGGCAGACAUGCAAGCAUCAUACAACGUUGCACCGAGAAGAGUUUUCGGUGACUCGAGACGGCCAUCGCUGUCUCCCACCAUAUAGCAGCUCCAUAAGUGGCACAAACUACAAACAAGUCACAAUAUAUGGGGCGAACAGCACGACGCCCGCGACCACAAUCACUCCUCAAGAUGCGUCGUACUUUGCCUGUGACCGCCAGUAUGCGCUCCUUAAUCCUAACCAAGUGUGGAGUAAAACACAUCCUUUCACUCAUAGUCAGCCCCAGAUAUUUUACUUGCGUCACAUAGCUGAUGUGAUCAAUCUACAUUUCAGCAGCAUUGCCACCGUUUUAUCCAUCGAUAUAUCAACCCCCACAUCUAAACCCCAAGAAUUUACAAUUUCUAAAAAAUGUCUUCCCGCCCGUUCUAAUUCACACCGCGAAUGACCUUCAACCAAAAGAAGAAGAUCAUCCGCAUACGCACAACACUCCCAACGAUGAUAACAGAGUGUCACCAACGCGAAGAGAGGUGGUAUCCUGACUUCUACGACCCCAGUAGAUCUUAUAGACCUGACCCCAAGGGUCGUUCAUAUUCGUCCUCUCAAAACUCUUCCACUCAUCUACCUUAAUUUUGACUAACAUAUCCUUAUACUCCCUCAUCACACAACUAAAUUCAUACCUAAGCUGGGACAACCUAUAAGAAUUUGAUCGUCAGGCGCGUUGAAACUUUCGCUUCAAUCGCCUGACAGUAGUCCUCCUUUUCAAGAUUUACUCACGCGUCCACCACUUAAUUUUCCUAACCCUAGAACACUUAUACCUGCCAAAAACCCUAUCAUUAAAUCCCCAAAAUUCCUCAUAGAGACGAGCAAUUUGCUCGUCCAUCCCCAACUCCUCAAAAACCCUAAGCGGUAUUUCCAACACCGUUUCCCUAACCGAGAGUCCAUAUUAGUUCUAGUCAAUACCAAUGGUACGCCAUCGCUGCAAUGGACUCUCAUAAAGCGAAGGAGGGGAUUAAGGAGCAACCAUAAUUUGAAUCAAAUUAAGAUCACUCAAUGCCCCACCCUCUCUUGACCUCCCACCUAACAUCAAAGGCCCUACUUGCUGCCUCAUUCAUAAGCGUCACGUCAAUAUCACUCACACCUCUAGGCCCAUUAAAAGUAUACCACUCGCUGGGCUCAUUCACAACGUGGAAGCCAUUAGCCACCACCCAUUCACUUAAUGCCUCACCUCGACUGUGGCUCAGAUAUCCAGACGUAUGCCUGUAUACCUUACUAAACUACAUCGAGGACGAGGCAUUCGCAUCCAACACCAGGAUAAAUGAACUACAAUGUACAAGAAGUAGCAGCUUAUCCAUGUAUGCCAGGUAGGGCUCUAGGGGCUCGUUAAAUUGCAGUAUAAAUUAGCAACAACCAUACCGAACACUCCCCUAUAGCAAUACAAACACCCAGCUGUAGAAUUAGCUGACAUCAUCAGAUGCCCAGCUGGUCUACUCUUGAAUGCACAACUCACACAUUACGGUAUAAGAACCGUUGCAGUUUAACUAAAUAACCCCUCCCUUCAGAUUUAGGCAGCCAGCGACGGAGCUAUCCGGUCGCACCCGGGAGGAAAACCACUUGAUGUAGCACCUUCUUGCCUCCAGGACAGCGGAGAUCAGACAAGCCGCACAAGGGCUGGGGGCGUAGCCAUCGGUACCAAUGAGGCCGGCAUUGACUUUUCCGGUGACGAAGAGUACGUCUCCAAACAUUCUCUAAGAGCGUCGACUCGUCCGCGAAUAUGGGAAUUCUAGGUAAUGACCGCCAUUAGGAGUGCUUCAAAUUUUGAUGCAAGCUCCAUGAACCCGUUCGCGGUCCUCUUUCGAAUUUUGUGGCCCCGAAUACCAAACCACUUAUUUCCCCCGUUAUGAGCUUUACGGCCGCAACAUGGCUCACUGCACCGUACCCAACAAAAACACUUGCCCUCAAACCAUCCCCCUUGCUACCAGCACCUCUACUAGCGCUCGCAUUGCUAGCGCCCGCUUUCCUCGUACCCGUAUGAGCGUACCCUAUGUACAUUUCUUUUUCGCCGGUAUUUGCGGAGUGAGCAACCGCUUUUUCAGCGGUGCCACCUUUACCGCUACCACUACCACUCCCGCCCUUACCCGCCCCUUUCGCUUCUCCACCCAACGUGGAAUCGUCUACUACUGAAAAAGGUUUACUCGCCCAGAAAACACUCGGGGUCACUAACUCGAGCAACAACACUACUAUCGUGUACUUCUGCCGAUUGCACACGCUCCAGGCAAUAACGGUGCCAACUCGACUGGGUAAACGAAUCACCACACAAAUGAGAAUACCCGAAAAUCACAAGAAAAAAGUCACUAUGAAAAUUGCACCUAUCCGUCGACAGUCAGCUAAUUGAAUACCACAAUAUUUUUAUGUUCUUGUAAAGAUUGAUCUCGAAACGAAACGACAUAUUUUUGUUAAGAUUGUUCUCGAAAAAAAAUCCACACCAAAAUUUGUCUGCCGACUUUUACCAUGCAAAAAUAUUUAACAACGAUUUUGCUUAAUAUUUUUGUGUUUCACUUAACCAUAUAAUUUUAUCAUGCUCUUUUGUAUUGGUUAGAGCGUAUACACUAACACCUGAUUCCCUUUCAGCAAUCAUUGCGAAUCUCCAAGCUUAUUUAUGCCAGGCCUGAAAUUGCUUUACCAUCUGAUCAAAUUUGAUCAGGAUUGGAUUGGAGCAAUCUUCUUUAUGUUCUUGUAAAAUUGAUUUGCAUAUAACUUACGAUUAUCACCACUUUCAGCAUGAGUUUGGUAAUAUUUACGAUGAAAAUUAAUAAAUGUUAUAUUAGCGUAAAAACGCAACUUUUCACGUCAUACGCAGUAUGUGUAUAAUCUACUGUCUACUAAAGGGAGCAUUUAGUUUAUUCUAAUAAAAGAACAAACAUUUAUAAUAUAGAAAAAUAAACACAAAAAAAAGAAAACCCAUAUUAUUUUGUACAAGACUGUAUAUAUAUAUAUCUAUCUAUGCCAUUAACUUUUAGUAUUUAUGUAUGACAUCAUUCUUGUAGAUCAUUUUUCUUUCUAUUGUGUAAUUACUUAAAAUGGCAGCAACAUAAUAGAAGAUGUUUUAAUAAUUAGGACCAGUAGACAUAAAUAUCUAAUCUAAUAAAUGCCUAGUUUGUAUGUAGACUUAACCAGAUUUAAGUGAUGGGCUAUACUGGUGGUAUGUCUUCAGAAAAUCUACUUAAAAAAUAUUGCAAACUGCAUUGUUCGUAACAUGUGAAAUUUAAAUACCACUCUGUGAGACUUUGUUUUAUACAUACAAGAGGGACUUCAUCCUAUAUAAUCGCAGUAAUAUAUAUAUUAUAUAUAACUCAAAAUAAUAAAAUAAUUUAAAAUUAACGCUAACAUUAAGAAAAUAAUAUACUCUUAAAGUUAUUAACAAUAACGCAAAUAUUCGUUAUUUUCUAACAGUUUGUUAUUGGCGAUUUUUCAGAUUUAAUAAACACUGUAUUGAAACUGCUCAACUGGUAAUUCAUAUAAAAUCCAUUGUUAGUUAUUAUUGUUCCUAAAUUUUUGAGGGCUGAAAUACAGUAUUUAAAGAGCAAUGUCUUUUAGCUUUGAAAAUUGUGUCAUAUAUUUUUGACUUGAAAUUUUAAAAUACUUUGCUUAAGGGGCUAUACCAGUGUGACAGUUUAUAUAAUAUAUCCAAAAAUAUUCUGUGGAAUCGGCAAGGUCGUAUCUUGAAUAAUUUUUGUAUCAUGGAUAAAUGGAUAUGAAACUCUUUGAUUCGAGAGAGAGCUGUCCAAACACCCAUUUUUUUUAACAUUUGCCGAUGAUGCCACUGCUAAAAAAUAUUAGAUUGGGCAAUUUAAGUAACUUUUGGGUAUUUUGCAAUUUCCACACUACCACUGAGGUAUGUUAAUGUUAUUGUUUUUGGGUGCUCGGUUCCCCAGUAGGCCUAUAUCAUCCACAUACAUAUAUAAAUAAUUUUACAAACAACUGACAUAUAAUUCUUCAGAAUUUCAACAACGCACUAAUUUUGGCAGUUCGUUUUAGCGCUAUUCUUCUGGCAUCCCGCCUUUCUCACUAACUGCUGAUAGACGAUACGCGGAUUGUGUUUUGUUGCCAGCUCUGAAAAAAGAUCAGAGUCCGCUGCCAGCUGACAAGCGAGAGAACAGGAAAAGAGUUUCUCAUCAAUUUAUCAAUGUUUUGGAUGACAGCCUUCUAAAGAGCGACCGCUCGCAGCUACCCAUUCGGCCGGUAUCAUGUCAGCACUUGGGCACUUUUUUUUGGCACCUCCGAAGACAGCAUAUAACUCCGUUAUUUUUCAAUAUUUUUGUAAAAAAAAAAAUCUUCAAAUAUUGCUGAAAAUAUACCUUAUUUCGUACAAAGAAGUUCGAAACAUUCGAUCGAGUACUUUUUUUUUAAAUUCACGAAAAUCGCCUAAUUUCUCAUGCGUUACACCGGUAUAGCCCCUUAAUACAGUUUUGAACUAUAAUUGUUCUCAUAUAAGAUGGACCUAAUUGGACGGGUGUGAAUCUCUCCAAAUUUUUCCAUGCUGAGACGUGUAUUGAUUCUACUUCAUAAUGGUUUUACUUGAAUCUUUGACACCAAUUUUAUUUUUAAACCAAAUAAAUCGGAUUUGGCUAAUUAUGUCUCCAUAAAAAUAUUUCAAUAAGUAGUGAACGCGCCAUGUGACACUGUUAAUCAAACUGUUUAUUGUAUUGAACAGGCGAUGAUUUUGAUUGAACUCCGAUCCCAAAUUACUUUCUACAGAACUCUUUUUGUGGUGAGCUCAAGGCAAGAAUUUGGGCUGAAUUCAUGGCUAGAGCCGAAAUGGUAAAAAAAUAAUAAUAAUGGAGGCAAAGCAAAAUAUUUCAUUGUUGACAAUAAUGAUGAUCGCACUUAAUUGGUGUAAAGGGUUAGUUGCAGUCAGAGACAUGAAAAAAAAUAAAUAAAUUUAAAUACUUUUUUUAGCCAGUAAAUUAUUUUAUUUUUUAAAAGUUAACACAGAAUAGCAUUGAAUAAGGUUUCUACUUGACUUGAUAGAUAUUUCUUUUUGAUUCAGCUCCAACUGAAGCUCCUUGGGAUUACGAUCACUAACCCUUGGAGAUCCAUCUAAAAUAAAACGGACAAAAACAAAAAGUUUUAUUAAUAGAUAAUCUAAGCACUAGGCAAAAGCUGUACAAACUUCAUUGAAAUCUACCGAACUUUUGUCUAGGUACAGUUUAAAAAAACGUAGUUUUGAGGAAACGCAUUAGAAUUUUUAUAUUCAAUUCGCCUAAAGUGAUAUAAAAACUGCACA